CGGUGGGGGUUGCUGCCACCGCCCCGUGACAAUGGGCCAGACACACGGGGUGGGGGGAGAACGGAGGGGCCAGUCUCUCAAAAGGCCCUGCCUCUUUUAAUAAAGCGUCCGUCAUUCCCUGCUUGAAAAGGCCUCCUUUUCUCUACCUCUCCCCUCCUCUCUCCCUCUCCUGGCUAAAUGCUGGGAAAAGCACAUCGCUGCCAAAACCAUGCAGAGAGAUAAAUGCUUGUAGGAGAGGAGAAGGAGGGGGCAAUGUAGAAAGAAGGCUACGCACUACUCAGUGCCACUGGACCGUGACCUGGGCAAAAACAUCACGUGGGAUGUCUCUCCUGUCCACAGUAUUGAGUUUGGACAGUGAUGAGAGCUCCACUGCCAAAGAAUGUGGGGCAGGGGACUACGGAUACUAAUAUCCAUGAAGACACGACAAAUUAUCCUGUGGUCUUCCACGAAAAAGGGGACUGCAACGCUUCCCUUCUGGCAGAAACCUCGUUUGGCUCAGCCUGCAGAGAGUAACUCAACGCAUCUGAGGAGACGAAUGAUUAUGUAUCAGGGUCCAGCUGCUACAGGCACUGCUCACGACCUGCAGGGAGCUCCUCGAACGCUGGGGCAGGAGUGCUGGAGGUGUGGGCAGCCCGGAUACUGCCGAUGUGACUGACCACUCAAGGAGGUCGGACAAGUGAUUCGGCUUGCCGGCUCUCCGACACCUUCCCCCAGCCCAGGGGUGACAUACCGCGUUCCGUGACAGCUGGGCGGAGCAUAUGCAGCGUGUGGCUGCGGUGCUCAGGUCAUUGAGGGUGGCCGGUCUCACUGCCAACCCGAAGAAGUGUGCGGUUGGACGGAGGGAGGCACAGUAUCUGGGGUACCAUUUGGGCAGAGGGCAGGUGCGCCCCCAGGUAGACAAGACGGCUGCGAUUGCCACCUGCCCGAAGCCCAAGUCAAAAAAAGAGGUAUGGCGGUUCCUGGGGCUGGCCGGCUAUUACCGGCAGUUCAUUCCAAACUUCGCAGAGCUGACCGGUUCCUUGACCGAUCUCACCCGGAAGGGUGCCUCAGAUCCAGUCCAGUGGACAGAGCGGUGCCAACUGGCGUUCGAGAGGGUAAAACAAGCCCUCUGUGGGGAGCCUCUCCUCCACACACCUACCUUUUCUCUCCCUUUUGUUCUGCAGACUGAUGCGUCGAACAGAGGAGUGGGGGCCGUUUUGUCCCAGCAGGUGCAGGGUGUCGACCGGCCGGUCGUAUACAUCAUCCGGAAGCUGUCAGAGAGGGAGGCCAGGUACAGUACAAUCGAAAAAGAGUGCCUCGGCCAACCGGUGGGCGGUCGAGGCCCUGCGGUAUUACCUGCUGGGGCGCCCAUUCACCCCCUGUUCGGGCCAUGCCCCCCUCCAGUGGCUCCACCGCAUGAAGGAUGCCAACGCCCGGAUCACACGGUGGUAUCUGGCUCUCCAGCCUUUUAAUUUCAAAGGCUCCCUGGCCUAAGUCGGGCGGUGGAGGUAUGUGGAGGUGGGUAUGGGUAGCUGUCAGCUGCAGAGGGAGAGGUGGUGGAGUUGCUCAGGUGAGCAGCAUCAAGGAGAGGUAAUUGGCACAGCUGAACCCGGUUAGCUAAUUAUGCUUGUAAUAAGUGUUUGCACUAAUUACAAGACAAAAUGAUUGGAGAUGAGUUUGAGAAGGAAGGCAACAUAAAUAUGUUUGGGAUUCACAUGUGGUUGGGCACUAAAACCUGUGUAUUUUCAUUACUAAUACUCUGUUGAAUAUUCUUCUGGUUAUUCAAUUAAUCAUUUAAUCCAAAAACUCUCCAUCACAAUUUCACAAUUUCACCAGAUCUUCAUACUGCUUCUUCAGCAGAACAGCCUAGAACCAUAAAAUAUAUUACAUUUACACUGAUAUAAAACUAAAACUGAGAAAUCCAUACAAUGCUGUUUGGCAUUUUUGGUUGAUAAAUGACUUACACGAUUACUCAAGGAAAAUGGUGAUACUGUAGAUAUAGCUCGCUUCUAUUUGUCUCAAAACAUAGGACAUUUACACAUCUCUCUUUCACUGUCUUUCACACACACAGCCCUGCAGUCCUUUUACACUUUCAUCUAUCUGCCUUAUUGACACACACAACACUUAAUCACACCUUAAUCACUAAACACACGCGCACACACACAGCUGUUGAAAAGCCAUUUUCUGUGUGUUCAUGAAGAGGGCACGUUGAGUUCCUCACUGCAGCUCUUUCCUGAUUCUGUAGUCAGCACUAAUGGCACGUGGCUUAAACCUACACCCAUGUGCACACUAGGACAGGAGAUACACAUACACACACACACCCUUGGACAUACCUUCACACACACCCUUGCAUUAAUACAGCUCUACUGCACAUAUGACCUGUACAUACACAAAGAGGUCCAUGUAAAGAAAUGUUCAUUUGCUCAUACACAGUCAUACAAAGCAGGCAAGCCGAAUGCAUCUAAAAAUAGCACCCUAUUGGCACCCCCACUGUCAUCAUUAUUCCUUUCAUCGUCCUUAUCAGCAGUGGGGGGCUCAUUCAGUUGGUGGACAGUCAAGCUGCUUUCAUGGAGCUUUCCUCGCCUCUCCAUCGCCACUGACAUCACCAUACCCUCCUCAUACCCUCUUUUCAAUUCUUGUCCUCCGUCUCUCCUCUCUAAUAUUUACAUCUUGCAUCCCUAGGUCCCUUCCCCUCUCUUCCUCCCCCUCCCUUUCUUUCUCUUUCUCUGCCUGCUUAUUGGGAAGCACUGAUGAGUGACACCCACCACAGUGUGGAGAGAAAGAGAUGAAGGGGGACAGGAGAGCACAUCCCAGAGGAGAACCUUUAUCUUGGCAGAAUAGACCCACUGAUACAGAAGAUGUAAUGACGUCAACCAUACCAUAACAACAGAUGAAACAAGGCAACAGGGGGAAAAAAGGGGAGGGAUGAGAUGAUGAAACAACACAGAGAAGAACAAUAGAGGUGAAUGUGUUACAUCGUAGAUGGAGGAGAAUUGCCACAGUGCUCAGUCUUUACAGGUUGCAGUCUAACCCUCUGCAGUAGAUAUUACACGUAGCUAGCUUUCAUUUCUGUAGUUUCACCAAGAAAAGGGGCUCCUAUAGGAAAAAGCUACUUAAUCAGGUAAUAUCUGUAUCUAUUAACAGUAACCUGAGUAGAGCUGCAAGUAUCAAUAAUUUCCAAUGUCAAUUAAUCUGCUGAUUAUUGUCACUUAUUAUAAUUGUGCCUGAAAAAUGACUUAAACAAUUAAUCGAUUAUAAAAAUAGUUGCUGAUUAAUUUUCUGUCAAAUUGACUAAUUGUUUCAACUCUAAAGCUAAGAAUAAAGCACCUAAGCAAAUAAGCAAUAAACAAAACAGAACAGUCCUAGGACUAGUAUGUGACUUGUUGGGAUGACAUUUUGAUACACUGCUUGGCUUCAAAAUGAUCAUAAAUAAGAUUUAUAGAAUAUUUGCUUAUUACAUGGGUUCUAUAGUUUAUUAAACGUGGGUUAUAAUGAUUAUAGAUACACACGCAUAUAUACAUGGAAGGAAGAAGUUUUAUUCACUUGUAAUAUCCAGAAAUGAUGCAUGGUGCUGGCUCUGGAUGUGAAUGGGCUCUAAAAGUAGGUUAAUAAACCUAAUGUUGAAAAAUGAUCUGACAAAAAACUAA